rnacentral:misc_RNA from 1 species
UGGCAACCCAAUAUAAAAGGAAAAGGGAAUUUUGUGGAAAUUUGUCAUCAGGAUUGGACGAAACUGCUGCAUCUUGAAGGGAAUUAGAUUUCUCAAUCUUUUUUUGAACACCUUUUAUAUACUUCUCUUUCAGUCUAAAUUUACCCAAUUUUGUGAUUGUCCUAGUUUCACAAUGAAUUCUUAAUUGUAAUCUUUUCAUACUAUCAAUGAAAUUCUG